rnacentral:miRNA from 1 species
UGGGCAACCGAAGUGUGGCUAA